GAUGAAGAACGUAGUGAAAUGCGAUACGUAAUGUGAAUUGCAGAAUUCAGUGAAUCAUCGAGUCUUUGAACGCACAUUGCGCCCCCUGGUAUUCCGGGGGGCAUGCCUGUCCGAGCGUCAUUGCUGCCCUCAAGCACGGCUUGUGUGUUGGGCCUCCGUCCUCCUCCCGGGGGACGGGCCCGAAAGGCAGCGACGGCACCGCGUCCGGUCCUCGAGCGUAUGGGGCUUCGUCACCCGCUCUUGUAGGCCCGGCCGGCGCUUGCCGACACAUCAAUCUUUUUUCCAGGUUGACCUCGGAUCAGGUAGGGAUACCCGCUGAACUUAAGCAUAUCAAUAAGCGGAGGA
rnacentral:misc_RNA from 1 species